AUUCCUCGGGCCCAUCCCCCACCCCUGACCCCGGAGUAGACCCCGGACUCCGGCGGGGGGGAGGGGGGCGUUCUGCUUGGGCCCAUCCCCCACUGACCCCGGAGCAGACCCCGGGGUGGGGGGAGGGGGGCGCUCUGCUCGGGCCCAUCCCCCGCCCCUGACCCCGGAGCAGAUCCCAGGGUUGUGCCCCCCCACCCCCCCCCCGCUCUGCUCGAGCCCAUCUCGCCCCUGACCCCGGAGCAGACCCCGGAACUGACCCCGGGGUGGGGGGCGCUCUUCUCAGGCCCAUCCCGCCCCCGAACCCGGAACAAACCCCGGAGCAUACCCCUGGGUGGGCGGAAGGGGCGCUCUGAAAAGGCCCAUCCCCGUCCCGACCCCGGAGCAGACCCCAGGGUUGGGAUCCCCCAGUUGUCCCCCUCCCCGCUCGGCUCGGACCCAUCCCCCACCCCUGACCCCGGAGCAGAUCCCGGGGUUGGGGGGCCACCCCCGCUCUGCUCGGGCCCAUCCCCACCCCUGACCCCGGAGACCCCGGAGCAGACCCCGGACUCCGGCGGGGGUGGGGGGGGCGCUCUGCUCCGGCCCAUCCCCCGCCCCUGACCCCGCCCCUGCCCCCGGGGUUAGGUGGGGGGCGCUCUGCUCGGGCGCAUCCCCCGCCCCGUUCCCACACUCCUAGGGUCCGGGGUGUAUUUUCUGCGCGAGGGGACAGGGACAGGCAGGAGCAGCUGAAGUGCAGCAAGGCUUCUGUGGGCCGGGGUCUAGACUCGGAGCUCUCCCCGCUGGGCCUCUUUAGAUCCUUACAACAGCUCCGCCGCGUAGACAAUAUCCCCGUUUUACACAUGAGAAACCUGAGGCAGAACGAAAAGGACUCCGAGCUGGUGCUUCUGCCAGGCCCACCACCAAGUGGCAGCAGAGAAAGGGGAGGGGGCUCCGGAAAUAGAAAUGGAUGCCGGUCACCUCUGUAAGCUGUUGUUACCACUGUUGUAAGCUCUUUACUAUUUUAUCUCAUUUAUAAUCACAAAUCAGCGAGGGGAAUGCUCUUAUUAUCCUCACUUUUACAAGUAAAAAAAUUGAGACACAGUUUAAUAAUGUCCUAAAGGAUCAAACUAUUAAGUAGGGGAACAGGAUUUGCCCCCUUGAAUUUAAGUGCUGAAUGCAAAUUUAAUUCUAAUUUAAAUUUAAUUCUGGGGAUCCCUGGGUGGCGCAGCGGUUUGGCGCCUACCUUUGGCCCAGGGCACGGUCCUGGAGACCCAGGAUCGAAUCCCACGUCAGGCUCCUGGUGCAUGGAGCCUGCUUCUCCCUCUGCCUAUGUCUCUGCCUCUCUCUCUCUCUCUGUGUGACUAUCAUAAAUAAAUAAAAAUUUAAAAAAAAUUAAUUCUGUGGC
rnacentral:lncRNA from 12 species